CAGUAUUAUUAAAAGGGCGAACUACUACGGUAAAUUUUAAUUAGUCUUCUGAGAGAUGUGGCACAAUUUUAUCUCAAAAAGCUGAGCUUGCUGGAGGAAUGAUACUUUUACGCAUUUUCGAGAAGUGACGUUUGCUUGGGAAACUGUUAACGCGUGGGAUAAACUGCGAGAGUAUCUUGGUUCUUUCGAGUGCGAUGUCAGCCGAUGUGUAAGAGGAUCAACAUCUGAGCUUUUAUCCUUUCGAGUAUCCUACAAACUUUAAUUAAAAACCAGACAAGGAGAGCGUGUAAAAUAUACGUCUGCCAUCUUCGUUCGUCACGGGAUGUUUCAUAACGCGAAAACAGACAUGAAAUAACACUCGAAGAUUACGGAUUAAUUUUAUUGGAUAAUAAAAGUAAAAUGCUAGUUGGCGAUAGUGUGACGUUUGCAUAAAAAUGUAUUGCCCUUCAAAAUACCAGGAGAUUUCUAAAACGCAAUAAACUAUAUUAAAAGUUAAUUACAACAGUUUAAGCAUC